rnacentral:lncRNA from 1 species
UUUUUGCAUGCAUUAACGUGAGAAGAAGAGGGGAAGAAAGAAAGCUUUGCUUUCUUUACAAUCUGGUCCUUUCAUAAAAAAUCUACCAUUUUUACUUAGAAAUCAAAGAAAUUUCCAUUGCCACCAAGGGAGAAAAUUGACAAAAAGACUAUGGGGAGCUAGAAUAUCAAGUUAGAUUCAAGAAAUAGAGGCUGGAGGAGAGAGAAAAUCAAGUUAAAGAUUGAAGUCAAUUGAGCAAGGUAAGAACAUCAUGAUUUCAAUAUAUUUUUGAGUUUGAUAUUAUUGAAAAAGUGUGAGAUUGAUGUUAAUGUAGGGUUUUAUUAUAUAAAGUUAUAUGUUCUUGAUAUGUUAGUGAAGAGAAAAUAAGAGAAAGUGUUGAGAAAGUGUAAAAAAAAGAAAAUAAGAGUGUUAUAGACUUAGUAAUCAAUAUUCUGCACUAAAGCAGUUUUGGACAGUAGCAGUAGGUUAAAUUUGAAAAAAUCACUAUAAAUUGUGGAAAUCGAAUUAUAGGAUGAAUAAAAUACGAAAUUAAAGCUUAUUGAGUCUAGUUUCACAUAGAAGAAACAGUGUAAGUAAUGAAAUUAUAAAUUAUGAGAUAUAAUAGGUUAUGUGAGAUAAGGUCAGAAUGAUUUCGAGUUCCCCUGUUCUGACUUUGGAAAAUCAUUAAAAAUUGUAAAAAAUAAUUAUGGGAUAAAAUUUAUAUUUUUAGAAUCUUUGAUGAGUUUAUUUUCAAAAAAUACAAACGGAAACAUCAUCCUAAUUCUGUACAAUUAGAUAAUUCAUUUUUAGUGAAGAGUGGUCGAAACUGUCAGACAGUGAAAUAGGGGAAACUUUAAAGAAUAAACUGUACCAUUUGGCUAAACCAAAAAUUCUGAAAAUUUUAUGGCAAGAAGAUAUGUGAGUCUAGUUUCAGGGAAAAUUAAUGGAUCUUAAUUUGGAUUUCUGUAGCUCAAGAUACAAAUAAUUUAGUGACUAUGACUUAAAUGGACAGCUUUGAUUAAAUUUACAAGAAAAUAGUGAAAAUUAUAGACAAUAUUACUUAUAAGCAUGUUAUAUAAAUUAAGGAUGUGGAAUGGAGAGGAGGAGGAGGAAAAUAAAUGUAUGAAUAUUAUGGAUUUGCAUUACAAAUGGUAAAUUUAUAUGAUUUGGGUUCGAGGACUAAAUUGAAUAAAAGUAAAACUUUAGGGGCAAUUUUGGAAAAAUAUCAAAAAUGACCAAAUUGCAUGAAAUGAGUUGUUUUAUUAAAAUGAAAAAUUAAUUUAGAUCAAGGUCGGGUAGAAAAUUGAGAAAAAUGGAAAAUUACCAAAAUGCUCUUGUAUUUUAGUAUUUUUACAAUUUAGCCCGGUAAGUUCGUGUAACUUGAAUUAUAUUCUUAAAUGCUUGAAAUGUUUGUUAUUGAUGUGAAAAUGAGUUGGAUGUUUAUUGUAUGAUAAUUGAUGAAGUAUUGAUAUUCUUGAUGAAAAGAGAAAAUAAAUCCCGGUUGAAUGGAAGGAAAAUUCGAUGGAUCUUUGAAAAGGAAUUGACGGUAAAAAGGAUCUAGCCCGGACGGGUGAUCCUAUCCUGAUAUAGCCCUCCCGAAGAAUAUGUGGAAAAUGGAUUUAGCCCGGACGGGUAAUCCGAAUUGGGGUCUGAAUUUAGCCUGGACUGGUAAUCCCGCUGUAAGGAUGAGGUUCGCAGGAGUAUGCUAUCUUGCAGGGGAUUUAGCCUGGACUGGUAAUCCCGCUGUAAGGAUGAGGUUCGCGGGAGUGUGCUCUCUGAAAUGGAAACGUGCGCACAUGAAUAUGAAUUGACGGACUCAGAAUUGUACACUAAAAGUGUACCUCUGAAAAUCCAUCAAAUUUCUGAGAAAUUCAACGGGAUAAAUAUGGAAAAUAAUAAGGGUAUUAGAAAAUAUGGAAUUGAAUUAUUAUUGGUAUUGAUCUGAAAUAAAUGUAACC